ACAUUCAUUUACGUGAUUUUAUCCACCUUGAUUGCAGCAAGUCAAGAAGAACAGGGAUCCAAGAUGGGAAGAGGAUUUUACUUUUGUGUUGGAGGAGCCUCCUGUGAAUGAUAGGCUGCAUUUGGAAGUUCUCAGCACCUCAAUGAGGAUUGGCCUAUUGCAUCCUAAGGAGGUAUUGGGUUAUAUUGAUAUAAGCCUUUCCGAUGUUGUUAACAACAAAAGGAUCAACGAGAAGUACCACCUCAUUGAUUCAAAGAACGGUCGCCUUCAAGUUGAGCUGCAAUGGAGAACUGCAUCAUGAUCUAAUCGCUAGUUCCAUGCCUGAAAACAUGUUCAUUUUCCUUGUAUUCUGUUUUUUGAUUGUCCGAUGGGUGUUUGGGGAGUAAAACAAAAAUAUUUCCUUUUUCAGCCCACGUUGGAAAAAUCUUUGCAAUUGUUUUGUACAUUACUACGUAACAAAAUUGUUUGUUUAGUUUGCCUUUUU